UAAUGGAGUUGUGAAGUAGCACAGAUGUCUAGAUGAUUCGUUAAAUUAGAUUGUUUUAUUAGCUUUAUACUAAUCUGGUUUGUUUGUUUUUGUAUGACCUUUAAAAUUACUACAAAUUAAACAUGUAUAAGGAAUGAAAUGUGUAUAAUUAUAGUCAGUAUAAAUAGAGCUGAUUGAGAAACCUGAGCAGGUUGACAUGUUCAGGCUGCACAUAUCAAUUAUUAAAUCAGUAAAUAAGAGUUUAUCGGGCAGGUUUCGGGUAAAAGUGCUCAGGGCAGGGGUUCAGGUGAGAAGAGAAGUCUCUCGUCCUGUCCCUGUCUCAAUCUGGACGCCUCAGAGACAAGCUCUCACAUUAACAGCCAUCUCAGAACUGAGCAGGAUUUCAGUCCACAUGGAAAAGGAUGGUGCCUUCGAACCAUCACCAACAAACAUGGAACAGACCACAGUGGCGAAAAAGGUGGCGAAGGUGAAAAGGAACCUUAGGAAACCACGGGGACGUAAGCAGAAAGCGAAGGAAGCCGACUGCGCGGUGAAGCUCCUGGCUGAACUUCCCUUCACCAGCACCGAGGUCUGGAAGGAACUCGGAUUCUCCGACCCUCAGGUGAAAGGGAAGACGAAAGGGAAGAGGAAGGAGAGGGGACAUAUGGAAAAUGAGGAGGACGGAGAGAAAGAGAAGAAGAAGAAGAUAGAUAGUCCUCGCCCUAAUUACUUUGUGUCAAUCCCCAUCACCAACCAAAAGAUAAAACAGGGUGUGGAGGAAGUCCAGGCUGAGGUGCUACAGAAGGACCCUCGUCUCUCCAGAGCUCUGAUUCCUGUUGGCACCCUCCACAUCACGCUGCUCGUCACACACUUAUCCACACAGGAGCAGAUCGACACAGCUGCAUUAGCAAUAGAAGAGAUGGAGUCUAUGUUGACGGCUCUGGUGGGUGGGCGGAGCCUCGUGCUGCCAUUCUGUGGCAUUGGUCACUUCAAACAGGAAGUAGCGUUCAUCCAGAUCGAAGAGGGAGAGCAUCUCAGUACCCUCACACACAUCGCAGACUCAGUCAGGAAGGCGUUUGAGGAGAAGGGGAUCCCAGCUGGAGACCAGAAAGCUUUCAAACCUCAUCUGACCUUCAUCAAGCUCUCACGAGCACCAAAGCUCCGGCGCCAGGGAGUCAAGAAGCUGGACUCGAGCCUGUACGCCGCGUUUGAGCAGCGAGUGUUUGGUGAGGAGAACGUGUGCACCAUGGAUCUAUGCUCCAUGCUGAAGAAGAAGGAUGCUGACGGGUACUAUCACCGCGAGAAGACUGUCACAUUCGAUCUUUUGCAGAGCGCGCGGCGCACCUCACGGACAAGUGGUAAACGUGGCCCAGAGCUCGACGACGAUGAGCUGCUAAGUCUGAGUAAGAGGCUGGUGGAGGACGCCGUGUCGCGCGCGGUGCAGCAGUACAUGGAGGAAACGCAGCAGAACGGCUCCGCCCCUAAAGACGAGGCUCCGCCCAAAUGACAGCGCGAAAACUGAUCUCAGACUCUCAUCCGCCUGGGUGGAGCCCCGGCUCACGGCUUCUCCUCCACGCCUCCUUCACGACGGACGGAUUUGUGCGGAAGAACGACGGAAUCGGCGACUCUGUGUAGACGAACCCGACCUGCCGGAAUCUUCUAUGCAGAUCUUUUUUUUUUUUUGUCGAUAAAAUGUUUGGUUUUUUUCUGGGAAAACUGAGACGCGAUAAAAACUGUUCUGAUCCGAGACCACGGCGAUACCGAACUGCACCUCUGGACCGCGGCAGGAACACGGACGUGUGAUUAGGUUCCUGUGUGGGAGUAUACGAUCAUGAUGAUGAUGAUGAUGAUGAUGAUGAUUUCUCAUGCGCUCCAGCCGUGUGUGUGACGCGCAGUGGGUCAGGAGGAUGCUGGACGCAGACAGAGAGAGUGUUUACAGGAGAGCGAGGGAGUUUAAGACACUGUUAGGACGAGCAGACGUACGAGCACGAAUCGCACGAGAACUGAGUGUGAC